rnacentral:tRNA from 1 species
ACUUUCAAAGGAUAACAGCAAUCUAAUGGCCUUAGGAGCCAUUCAUCCUGGUGCAAAUCCAGGUGAAAGUA